UAUUCUUGCAGGCGGCUUUCCUGGAGGAAUGCCUGGCAGUUUUCCUGGAGGAAUGUCUGGAAUGGCAGGAGGCAUGCCUGGAAUGGCAGGAAUGCCUGGACUCAAUGAAAUUCUUAGUGAUCCAGAGGUUCUUGCUGCCAUGCAGGAUCCAGAAGUUAUGGUGGCCUUCCAGGAUGUGGCCCAGAACCCAGCAAAUAUGUCAAAAUACCAGAGCAACCCAAAGGUUAUGAAUCUCAUCAGUAAACUGUCAGCCAAGUUUGGAGGUCAGGCAUAAUGCCCUUCUCUAAAAAGCCCUUGCUGAAGGAAAAGCAACCUAGAUCACCUAAUGGAUGUCGCAAUAAUACAAACCAGUGUACCUCUGACCUCAUCAAGAGAGCUGGGGUGCGCUAAAGAUAAUCCCUCCUCCCUCUGUCCCCAAUGCAGCUGAAGCAUUUUACAGUGGUUUGCCAUUAGGGUAUUUAUUCAGAUAAUGUUUUCCUACUAGGAAUUACAAACACUUUGUAAACCUUAAAAAUAUUUAAAACAAAUUAAAAUGGUAUGUUAAUUCCUACUUUUUCUUUACUAAUCAUUUUGGAUUUUUUCCUUUGAAUUAUUGGGCAAGGAAGAUACUUAAGUAUGGAAGGUUAUUGCUCUAGUUUGAGUGAAAUAAGUUUAUUAGUAGAGCAAAUACAACUAAUUUAAAUGGGUAAAGUUUGAGUUGGAUAUAUGGUUCCAGAGACAUUUUGACUUCUCUUUUUAAAUGCUUUAUUUUUUAAAAAAAGAUUUAUUUCAGUAAAACAAAUUGGGACCACCAGUAUUCAGUAGGACCUGGGUAGGGACUGGAAGUACUUGGCAGGGUGCAGCACCAAUCUUGCUAUGUUUUAUAUAAUAACACGCACCCUUGUGCAGGUUGCAUUUAAAUCUUACACACUGUGCUGAAGGGGUGGUUUUUUGUAAUGCUGCAGUAGAGUUGGAUUACUUAGCUCUGUUCUUGUCCAAUAUAUCAAAUGUCUCAUAUUAUUUCCAUGUAGAGGAAAUAAAGGAGUACUUUUCUUUUUAUAUUUUUAUGUGUAAAAUUAUCUAUCCUGGUCAAAAAAAUGCCCAACUCGAUGUUUGCUUUCUGCUUGUUUGUUACAUUUUUCUCUCUUACUCUUCUUGGGCUUAAAGAUGUUCUUUUUUCACAAGCAUCAUUACUGCUAUCAUUCACAGCAUAUUUGUGUAAGCGUGUUUAAUGCUGACUUUAAUAUAUAAUACAUAUGGUAACUGUCAGGUAAUGCCCAUAGCAGGGGUAGGUUCUUAACUUGACCAUGAAAAUCCUUUUUUUAAAUGUUAGAUUUCCACUCUGGUAAAAUCUUGACAUAUCAAAAAACACUGAAAGGAGGGAAUUCCCUUUGGUGUUUGGUCUUCUACUUAGGAAAUACCUGUUGCAAUUAGAAUUUCUUGUAUUCGUCUUUGUAUUUUGAAGAAAAUAAGAUUUGAAUUAAAUUGAUAUUCAUGGAGGAGAAACAGACUUCUUGAUUAAGCAUGCAUUAAUAAAAAUAAAUGAGGUAUCCAGUCAUUCAUUAUAUGGAGUUGUUAGAACUACGAAAGAUUCCAUGUCUUCCUACUCAGCUUCUCCUUAAAUAGUGCGACCAUAAACCCACCUCUGUUUUUUUUCCCUCCUCUCCAACUAUAAAGAAAAUGUUAAAUUUUCUGUUGUGCAUUCAAAUGACGCUGUUAGGCAUUACCUGACACUGAUAGGUUUCUACAAUGUUUCAAGGAAGUGCUAGUGUAUGAAAGCAAUUUCAAGUAUGAGACCUUGUGUACUUUGUUUAAUUUGAAGAAUCAGUGAUAGAAUCUAUGAAGUACCUUCCUAAAAUAGCACAUUUCUAAAAUCAAAUAAUCUUAUUCAGGUUCUAACCCUUUGCUAGCCACAAGUAGACAGAAAUGCAUCUGUUAUAUAAAUGAGAGAAAGUUGUAUGCUGAUGGAGCGAGCUUUUUAAAUCCUUUAAAAACAUUCACCACAUAAACUUGCAUUUGAGCUCACGUGUUCUUUUUGUUAAUGUGUGUUCUCCUUUCUCAAAAUUUCCAUUGUGUGCUGGGCUUAACUCAAAAAUAAUUUCUUCUGGAUUCCUUAUUUGAUUUACUUGACUAUGCAUUACCUAAUUAUAUUUAACAUUGGAAAAUUACCAUAAAUUGGUAAAACUAAAAUUGUUCUGAAAAUGUGUCCUGUGCUUUUAGACUUUUAAGUUCCACAAAUGCAAAAUACAUUCUUAAUUUUCAUAGGAGCUCAAUAUUACUUCUAAACCGGAAAUAUUCUUAUGCUAAUGAUGCUGUGAGAUGGAAAACAAUUUUUCUGCUAAAAACAUAUAGUUAUUGGAUAUUUCUAGCUAUGUUAAAAAUAAAAUAUGGUUUCAAACUGGA